GACGAACGCUGGCGGCGUGCCUAACACAUGCAAGUCGAGCGAGUGAAUUUCCUUCGGGAUUGAAGCUAGCGGCGGACGGGUGAGUAACACGUGGGCAACCUGCCUCAUAGAGGGGAAUAGCCUUUCGAAAGGGAGAUUAAUACCGCAUAAGAUUGUAGCUUCGCAUGAAGUAGCAAUUAAAGGAGCAAUCCGCUAUGAGAUGGGCCCGCGGCGCAUUAGCUAGUUGGUGAGGUAACGGCUCACCAAGGCGACGAUGCGUAGCCGACCUGAGAGGGUGAUCGGCCACAUUGGGACUGAGACACGGCCCAGACUCCUACGGGAGGCAGCAGUGGGGAAUAUUGCACAAUGGGGGAAACCCUGAUGCAGCAACGCCGCGUGAGUGAUGACGGCCUUCGGGUUGUAAAGCUCUGUCUUCAGGGACGAUAAUGACGGUACCUGAGGAG
rnacentral:rRNA from 1 species